rnacentral:rRNA from 1 species
CACGUAGGGCGCGAGCGUUGUCCGGAAUUAUUGGGCGUAAAGAGCUCGUAGGCGGCCUGUUGCGUCCGCUGUGAAAGCCCGGGGCUUAACCCCGGGUCUGCAGUGGAUACGGGCAGGCUAGAGGUAGGUAGGGGAGAAUGGAAUUCCCGGUGUAGCGGUGAAAUGCGCAGAUAUCGGGAGGAACACCGGUGGCGAAGGCGGGUUCUCUGGGCCUUACCUGACGCUGAGGAGCGAAAGCGUGGGGAGCGAACAGG